CCUACGGGAGGCAGCAGUGGGGAAUUUUGGACAAUGGGCGCAAGCCUGAUCCAGCCAUGCCGCGUGAGUGAAGAAGGCCUUCGGGUUGUAAAGCUCUUUCGGCGGGGACGAAACGGUUCGUGCCAACAUCACGGACUAAUGACGGUACUCGCAGAAGAAGCACCGGCUAACUACGUGCCAGCAGCCGCGGUAAU
rnacentral:rRNA from 1 species